UCAAGCGGUUAAGCGCAUACGGUGGAUGCCUAGGCGAUAAGAGGCGAUGAAAGACGUUGUAGCAUGCGAUAAGCCUCGGGGAGCUUGCAAACUAGCUUUGAUCCGAGGAUUUCUGAAUGGGGAAACCCACCUGUUUACAGGUAUCAAUAACUGAAUACAUAGGUUAUUUGAGGCGAACCCGGGGAACUGAAACAUCUAAGUACCCGGAGGAAAAGAAAUCAACCGAGAUUCCCUUAGUAGCGGCGAGCGAACGGGGACCAGCCCUUAAGCGUAUAAAUAUCUAACUGAACAGAUACUGGAAAGUCUGACCACAGAAGGUGAUAGUCCUGUAAGUGAAAGAUGUUAAUACGUGAAAUCGAGUAAGGCGGAGCACGAGAAACUCUGUCUGAACAUGGGGGGACCAUCCUCCAAGGCUAAAUACUCCUUAUCGACCGAUAGUGAACUAGUACCGUGAGGGAAAGGCGAAAAGAACCCCUGUUAGGGGAGUGAAAUAGAACCUGAAACCGUAUGCGUACAAGCAGUGGGAGCACCCUUCGGGGUGUGACUGCGUACCUUUUGUAUAAUGGGUCAGCGACUUAAUUUUAGUAGCAAGGUUAACCGCAUAGGGGAGCCGUAGAGAAAUCGAGUCUUAAAAGGGCGUAUAGUUGCUAGGAUUAGACCCGAAACCGGGCGAUCUAGCCAUGGCCAGGUUGAAGGUCGGGUAAUACCGACUGGAGGACCGAACCAACUAAUGUUGAAAAAUUAGUGGAUGAGCUGUGGCUAGGAGUGAAAGGCUAAACAAGCCCGGAGAUAGCUGGUUCUCCCCGAAAUCUAUUUAGGUAGAGCCUCAUGUAUCACUUCAGGGGGUAGAGCACUGUAAUGGCUAGGGCUGCAUCUCGCGGUACCAACCCAUCGCAAACUCCGAAUACCUGAAAGUGCAAUCAUGGGAGACAGACGGCGGGAGAUAAGUUUCGUCGUCGAGAGGGCAACAGCCCAGACCACCAGCUAAGGUCCCUAAACACAUCUCAGUGGGAAACGAUGUGGGAAGGCUCAGACAGCCAGGAUGUUGGCUUAGAAGCAGCCAUCAUUUAAAGAAAGCGUAAUAGCUCACUGGUCGAGUCGGCCUGCGCGGAAGAUAUACCGGGGCUCAAGGUGUGUACCGAAGCUGUGGAUGCAUAUUUAUAUGCAUGGUAGGGGAGCGUUCUGUAAGUCUGCGAAGGUGGAUCGUAAGGUCUGCUGGAGAUAUCAGAAGUGCGAAUGCUGACAUGAGUAACGAUAAUGCGGGUGAAAAGCCCGCACGCCGAAAACCCAAGGUUUCCUGCGCAACGUUCAUCGGCGCAGGGUUAGUCGGUCCCUAAGGCGAGGCAGAAGUGCGUAGUCGAUGGGAAACAGGUUAAUAUUCCUGUACUUUUUAUAGCUGCGAUGGGGUGACGGAGAAGGCUAGAUUAGCCAGCUGUUGGAUAUGCUGGUUUAAGCGAGUAGGUUGAGGACUUAGGCAAAUCCGGGUCCUUAAGACUGAGACGUGAUGACGAUUUCCAUUCUAUGGAGAGAAGUAAUUGAUGCCCUGCUUCCAGGAAAACCCUCUAAGCUUCAGGUUAUGAAGAACCGUACCCCAAACCGACACAGGUGGGUGGGGUGAGAAUCCCAAGGCGCUUGAGAGAACUCUGGUGAAGGAACUCGGCAAAAUGACACCGUAACUUCGGGAGAAGGUGUGCCACCGUUAGGUGAAAGUCCUUGCGACUGGAGCUGAAGGUGGUUGCAAUAAAGAGGUGGCUGCGACUGUUUACUAAAAACAUAGCACUCUGCAAACUCGUAAGAGGAAGUAUAGGGUGUGACGCCUGCCCGGUGCCGGAAGGUUAAUUGAUGGGGUUAGCAUUAGCGAAGCUCUUGAUCGAAGCCCCGGUGAACGGCGGCCGUAACUAUAACGGUCCUAAGGUAGCGNNNNNCUGACUUUAACUAUAACGGUCCUAAGGUAGCGAAAUUCCUUGUCGGGUAAGUUCCGACCUGCACGAAUGGCGUAACGAUGGCCACACUGUCUCCACCAGGGACUCAGUGAAAUUGAACUUGCUGUGAAGAUGCAGUGUACCCGCGGCUAGACGGAAAGACCCCGUGCACCUUUACUAUAGCUUCACACUGGACUUUGAAUAAGUAUGUGCAGGAUAGGUGGAAGGCUUUGAAGCGGAAACGCCAGUUUCUGUGGAGCCACCCUUGAGAUACCACCCUUACUUGUUUGAGGCCCUAACUGAGGUCCAUUAUCUGGAUCCAGGACCGUGUGUGGUGGGUAGUUUGACUGGGGCGGUCUCCUCCCAAAUUGUAACGGAGGAGCGCGAAGGUACUCUAAUUACGGUCGGAAAUCGUAAGGUUAGUGCAAAGGCAUAAGAGUGCUUGACUGCGAGACAGACACGUCGAGCAGGAACGAAAGUUGGUCUUAGUGAUCCGGUGGUUCUGUAUGGAAGGGCCAUCGCUCAACGGAUAAAAGGUACGCCGGGGAUAACAGGCUGAUACCCCCCAAGAGUUCAUAUCGACGGGGGUGUUUGGCACCUCGAUGUCGGCUCAUCACAUCCUGGGGCUGUAGCCGGUCCCAAGGGUAUGGCUGUUCGCCAUUUAAAGUGGUACGCGAGCUGGGUUUAGAACGUCGUGAGACAGUUUGGUCCCUAUCUGCCGUGGGCGUCGGAGACUUGAGAGGAGCUGCUCCUAGUACGAGAGGACCGGAGUGGACGUACCCCUGGUGUUCCAGUUAUCGUGCCAACGGUAUUGCUGGGUAGCUAUGUACGGACGGGAUAACCGCUGAAAGCAUCUAAGCGGGAAGCCCCCCUCAAGAUAAGGUCUCCCGGGAUUUAAGUCCCCUGAAGGGUCGUUGAAGACUACAACGUUGAUAGGCCAGGUGUGGAAGCUCAGUAAUGGGUGAAGCUAACUGGUACUAAUUGCCCGUGUGGCUUGAUCAU
rnacentral:rRNA from 1 species